CGUGGAUUAGGCAUGCAAGUCGAACGAGAAUUCGCGGGUUCAAGCCGCAAGGUGAGAAUUCGCGGAGGACAGUGGCGAAAGGGUGAGUAACACGUGGGUAAUUUGCCUUUAAGUUGAGUACAACCCGCCGAAAGGCGGAUUAAUACUGAAUGUGAUCGUCCACCGCAUGGUGGAUUGUUUAAAGCCGGGGACCCGCAAGGGCCUGGCGCUUGAAGAGAAACCCGCGUCCUAUCAGCUUGUUGGUGAGGUAACGGCCCACCAAGGCUAUGACGGGUAGCUGGUCUGAGAGGAUGGUCAGCCACAUUGGGACUGAGACACUGCCCAGACUCCUACGGGAGGCUGCAGUCGAGGAUCAUUUGCAAUGGGCGCAAGCCUGACAAUGCGACGCUGCGUGGAGGAUGAAGGCCUUCGGGUUGUAAACUCCUGUCGUCCGGGAACAAUAUCGGGAGGGUUAAUAACUCUGCCGGUUGAUGGUACUGGAAAAGGAAGUCACGGCUAACUCUGUGCCAGCCGCCGCGGUAAUUCA
rnacentral:rRNA from 1 species